rnacentral:rRNA from 1 species
CCUACGGGCGGCAGCAGUGGGGAAUAUUGGGCAAUGGGCGCAAGCCUGACCCAGCAACGCCGCGUGAAGGAAGAAGGCUUUCGGGUUGUAAACUUCUUUUCUCAGGGACGAAGAAAGUGACGGUACCUGAGGAAUAAGCCACGACUAACUACGUGCCAGCAGCCGCGGUAAUACGUAGGUGGCAAGCGUUAUCCGGAUUUACUGGGUGUAAAGGGCGUGUAGGCGGGACUGCAAGUCAGAGGUGAAACCCACGGGCUCAACCUGUGGCCUGCAUUUGAAACUGUAGGUCUUGAGUACUGGAGAGGCAGAUGGAAUUCCUAGUGUAGCGGUGAAAUGCGUAGAGAUUAGGAGGAACACCAGUGGCGAAGGCGGUCUGCUGGACAGCAACUGACGCUGAGGCGCGAAAGCGUGGGGAGCAAACAGGAUUAGAUACCCCAGUAGUC